GGUAUAGUCUUCGGAUUAGAGACCGGCGCACGGGUGNNNAACGCGUAUGNNNUCUACCUUUCACAGAGGGAUAGCCCAGAGAAAUUUGGAUUAAUACCUCAUAGUAUUAUAGAAUGGCAUCAUUUUAUAAUUAAAGUCACAACGGUGAAAGAUGAGCAUGCGUCCCAUUAGCUUGUUGGUAAGGUAACGGCUUACCAAGGCUACGAUGGGUAGGGGUCCUGAGAGGGAGAUCCCCCACACUGGUACUGAGACACGGACCAGACUCCUACGGGAGGCAGCAGUGAGGAAUAUUGGACAAUGGGCGCAAGCCUGAUCCAGCCAUGCCGCGUGCAGGAUGACGGUCCUAUGGAUUGUAAACUGCUUUUAUACGAGAAGAAACACUCCUUCGUGAAGGAGCUUGACGGUAUCGUAAGAAUAAGGAUCGGCUAACUCCGUGCCAGCAGCCGCGGUAAUACGGAGGAUCCAAGCGUUAUCCGGAAUCAUUGGGUUUAAAGGGUCCGUAGGCGGUUUAAUAAGUCAGUGGUGAAAGCCCAUCGCUCAACGGUGGAACGGCCAUUGAUACUGUUAGACUUGAAUUAUUAGGAAGUAACUAGAAUAUGUAGUGUAGCGGUGAAAUGCUUAGAGAUUACAUGGAAUACCAAUUGCGAAGGCAGAUNACUACUAAUUGAUUGA
rnacentral:rRNA from 1 species